CAAGAAUGCGCCGGCGCAGGGUGCACUGUGCACAGGCGCAGUUUGUCUGAUGUGCCCUAUUUCCCGCUCCUCCCUCAAGCAUCCCGGAAGGCAUGGAGGUCCUUUUGUCCCCCAUUCCUUGUAGGCAGAGCUCUUGGCCUCCCUGACCUUCUCUCCGUUCCAAAGGGCAGAAGAGUUGCUAAUCAAAGAAGCAGCAACAAAACCACCUGAGACAGAGACUCAACAAGAUUAGAAGAUGAACCACCUAGGACCCUGCAGAAGCAAAAAUACAAGACUGUUACCGCCUUGAUCCUUAUCACAUAUGCAGCCUGACUAUAUAACCUUUCCCUGCUCACUGGGGGCUGGUGGCGGUGGGGUGGGACAUAGUUCUUGAGAUGCUAGCAUACUGUGUUCCCCCUUUGCCUGGCAAAGUAAUAAAGCCACUCUUUCUUUCUCCUCCAUAA